AUCGCUUCCGGGCCUUUUGGCUAAGAUCAAGUGUAGUAUCUGUUCUUAUCAGUUUAAUGUCUGAUAUGUCCUCUAUCAGGGGACAACAUAUUAAAUGGAUUUUUGCCGAUUGGAGUAGAAAAAGGGGGCUUGCUCCGUCUUCCCACCGAAUCAUUGACCGGUAGCUUGCCGGGAACGGUGCACCUUUC